AAUUCAGUAUUAUAUUUUAGUAAGUUUAAUUUCAAAUUAAAGGGAAAAGAAUUA
rnacentral:tRNA from 1 species